rnacentral:rRNA from 1 species
ACGGGAGGCAGCAGUGGGGAAUAUUGCACAAUGGGGGAAACCCUGAUGCAGCGACGCCGCGUGAGUGAUGAAGUAUUUCGGUAUGUAAAGCUCUAUCAGCAGGGAAGAUUAUGACGGUACCUGACUAAGAAGCCCCGGCUAACUACGUGCCAGCAGCCGCGGUAAUACGUAGGGGGCAAGCGUUAUCCGGAUUUACUGGGUGUAAAGGGAGCGUAGACGGUUUGGCAAGUCAGAUGUGAAAGCCUGGGGCUCAACCCCGGAACUGCAUUUGAAACUGUCAGACUAGAGUGCAGGAGAGGUAAGUGGAAUUCCUAGUGUAGCGGUGAAAUGCGUAGAUAUUAGGAGGAACACCAGUGGCGAAGGCGGCUUACUGGACUGUAACUGACGUUGAGGCUCGAAAGCGUGGGGAGCAAACAGGAUUAGAUACCCUGGUA